rnacentral:rRNA from 1 species
GUUGUAUGGUUAAGUGACUAAGCGUACAUGGUGGAUGCCUUGGCAGUCAGAGGCGAUGAAGGACGUACUAACCUGCGAUAAGCUGUGAGAAGUCGGUAAGAGACGCUAUUACUCACAGAUUUCCGAAUGGGGAAACCCACCCGAGAUAACUCGGGUAUCUGUUACUGAAUACAUAGGUAACAGAGGCGAACCGGGAGAACUGAAACAUCUAAGUACCCCGAGGAAAAGAAAUCAACCGAGAUUCCCUCAGUAGCGGCGAGCGAACGGGGAUUAGCCCUUAAGCAUCUUGGAAGUUAGUGGAACGGUCCUGGAAAGGCCGGCGAUACAGGGUGAUAGCCCCGUACACGAAAACAACCUUGAUGUGAAUCGAGUAGGGCGGGACACGUGACAUCCUGUCUGAAUAUGGGGGGACCAUCCUCCAAGGCUAAAUACUCCUGACUGACCGAUAGUGAACCAGUACCGUGAGGGAAAGGCGAAAAGAACCCCUGUGAGGGGAGUGAAAUAGAACCUGAAACCGUGUACGUACAAGCAGUGGGAGCCCUUCGGGGUGACUGCGUACCUUUUGUAUAAUGGGUCAGCGACUUACAUUUUGUAGCGAGGUUAACCGUAUAGGGGAGCCGUAGGGAAACCGAGUCUUAACUGGGCGUCUAGUUGCAAGGUGUAGACCCGAAACCGGGUGAUCUAGCCAUGGGCAGGUUGAAGGUUGAGUAACAUCAACUGGAGGACCGAACCCACUAACGUUGCAAAGUUAGGGGAUGACCUGUGGCUGGGGGUGAAAGGCCAAUCAAACUCGGAGAUAGCUGGUUCUCCCCGAAAGCUAUUUAGGUAGCGCCUCGGACGAAUACUACUGGGGGUAGAGCACUGUUUGGGCUAGGGGGUCAUCCCGACUUACCAACCCCAUGCAAACUCCGAAUACCAGUAAGUAAUAUCCGGGAGACACACGGCGGGUGCUAACGUCCGUCGUGAAGAGGGAAACAACCCAGACCGCCGGCUAAGGUCCCAAAGUUCUGGUUAAGUGGGAAACGAUGUGGGAAGGCUCAGACAGCUAGGAUGUUGGCUUAGAAGCAGCCAUCAUUUAAAGAAAGCGUAAUAGCUCACUAGUCGAGUCGGCCUGCGCGGAAGAUGUAACGGGGCUCAAACCAGGCACCGAAGCCGCGGAUUCACACUUAUGUGUGAGUGGUAGGGGAGCGUUCUGUAAGUCUGCGAAGGUGUAUCGAGAGGUAUGCUGGAGAUAUCAGAAGUGCGAAUGCUGACGUAAGUAACGAUAAAGGGGGUGAAAAGCCUCCUCGCCGGAAGACCAAGGGUUCCUGUCCAACGUUAAUCGGGGCAGGGUGAGUCGACCCCUAAGGCGAGGCCGAAAGGCGUAGUCGAUGGGAAGCAGGUUAAUAUUCCUGCACGACUUGUAAUUGCGAUGGGGGGACGGAGAAGGCUAGGUGGGCCAGGCGACGGUUGUCCUGGUGAAAGUGCGUAGGUGGUGUUUCUAGGCAAAUCCGGAGACACAACACUGAGACACGAGACGAACACACUACGGUGUGGAAGCCAUUGAUGCCCUGCUUCCAGGAAAAGCCUCUAAGCUUCAGAUUACAAGUCAUCGUACCCCAAACCGACACAGGUGGUCGGGUAGAGAAUACCAAGGCGCUUGAGAGAACUCGGGUGAAGGAACUAGGCAAAAUAGAACCGUAACUUCGGGAGAAGGUUCGCUCUUGACAGUGAAGUCCCUUGCGGAUGGAGCAGUUGGGAGUCGCAGUGACCAGAUGGCUGGGACUGUUUAUCAAAAACACAGCACUCUGCAAACACGAAAGUGGACGUAUAGGGUGUGACACCUGCCCGGUGCCGGAAGGUUAAUUGAUGGGGUUAGCGCAAGCGAAGCUCUUGAUCGAAGCCCCGGUAAACGGCGGCCGUAACUAUAACGGUCCUAAGGUAGCGAAAUUCCUUGUCGGGUAAGUUCCGACCUGCACGAAUGGUGUAACCAUGGCCAUGCUGUCUCCACCCGAGACUCAGUGAAAUCGAAUUCGCCGUGAAGAUGCGGUGUACCCGCGGCUAGACGGAAAGACCCCGUGAACCUUUACUACAGCUUGGCACUGAACAUUGAACCUACAUGUGUAGGAUAGGUGGGAGGCUUUGAAGGCGUGACGCCAGUUGCGCUGGAGCCGUCCUUGAAAUACCACCCUUGUAUGUUUGAUGUUCUAACGCAGGGCCCUGAAUCGGGCUCGCGGACAGUGCCUGGUGGGUAGUUUGACUGGGGCGGUCUCCUCCCAAAGAGUAACGGAGGAGCACGAAGGUUGGCUAAUCCUGGUCGGACAUCAGGAGGUUAGUGCAAUGGCAUAAGCCAGCUUAACUGCGAGACGGACAGGUCGAGCAGGUACGAAAGUAGGUCAUAGUGAUCCGGUGGUUCUGAAUGGAAGGGCCAUCGCUCAACGGAUAAAAGGUACUCCGGGGAUAACAGGCUGAUACCGCCCAAGAGUUCAUAUCGACGGCGGUGUUUGGCACCUCGAUGUCGGCUCAUCACAUCCUGGGGCUGAAGUCGGUCCCAAGGGUAUGGCUGUUCGCCAUUUAAAGUGGUACGCGAGCUGGGUUCAGAACGUCGUGAGACAGUUCGGUCCCUAUCUGCCGUGGGCGUUGGAUGAUUGAAGGGAGUUGCUCCUAGUACGAGAGGACCGGAGUGAACGAACCUCUGGUGUUCGGGUUGUCACGCCAGUGGCACUGCCCGGUAGCUAAGUUCGGAAUCGAUAACCGCUGAAAGCAUCUAAGCGGGAAGCGAGCCCUGAGAUGAGUCAUCCCUGACCCCUUGAGGGUUCUAAAGGGCCGUUGGAGACCACAACGUUGAUAGGUGGGGUGUGUAAGCGCGGCGACGUGUUGAGCUAACCCAUACUAAUUACCCGUGAGGCUUAACCAUACAACACCCAAGAAGUGUUCU